rnacentral:rRNA from 1 species
GUGGGGAAUAUUGGACAAUGGGGGCAACCCUGAUCCAGCCAUGCCGCGUGUGUGAAGAAGGCCUUCGGGUUGUAAAGCACUUUAAGUGGGGAGGAAGGUUCGCUGGCUAAUAUCCAGCGGAAUUGACGUUACCUGCAGAAUAAGCACCGGCUAACUCUGUGCCAGCAGCCGCGGUAAUACAGAGGGUGCAAGCGUUAAUCGGAAUUACUGGGCGUAAAGCGCGCGUAGGCGGUUGUGUAAGUUGGAGGUGAAAUCCCCGGGCUUAACCUGGGCACUGCCUUCAAAACUGCACGGCUAGAGUAUGGGAGAGGAAGGUAGAAUUCCAGGUGUAGCGGUGAAAUGCGUAGAGAUCUGGAGGAAUACCGAUGGCGAAGGCAGCCUUCUGGCCUAAUACUGACGCUGAGGUGCGAAAGCAUGGGGAGCAAACAGGAUUAGAAACCCCUGUAGUCC